rnacentral:rRNA from 1 species
GAGUUUGAUCCUGGCUCAGAAUGAACGUUGGCAGCGUGGAUUAGGCAUGCAAGUCGAGCGACAAGUUCUCCUUCGGGGGAAUGGAGGAGCGGCUAACGGGGUAGUAAUGCAUCGGAACGUACCUUUUCGUCUGGGAUAGCCACGGGAAACUGUGAGUAAUACCGGAUAAUGUCUUCGGACCAAAGAUUUAUUGCGAAAAGAGCGGCCGAUGUGAGACUAGAUUGUUGGUGGGGUAAUGGCCUACCAAGUCUAAGAUCUCUAGGGGGUGUGAGAGCAUGGCCCCCACCACUGGAACUGAGACACUGUCCAGACACCUACGGGUGGCUGCAGUCGAGAAUCUUCGGCAAUGGGCGACAGCCUGACCGAGCGACGCUGCGUGCGGGAUGAAGGCCCUUGGGUUGUAAACCGCUGUCAGAGGGGAUCAAAGGAAACUUGAGAGAGCCUCAGAGGAAGCGCGGGCUAAGUUCGUGCCAGCAGCCGCGGUAAUACGAACUGCGCAAACGUUAUUCGGAAUCACUGGGCUUACAGGGUGCGUAGGCGGUCCACCAGGUCAGAUGUGAAAUCCCACAGCUCAACUGUGGAACUGCAUUUGAAACCGGCGGACUUGAGUAGACUAGAGGCAUACGGAACUUCAGGUGGAGCGGUGAAAUGUGUUGAGAUCUGAAGGAACACCAGAGGCGAAAGCGGUAUGCUGGAGUCUGUCUGACGCUGAGGCACGAAAGCCAGGGGAGCGAACGGGAUUAGAUACCCCGGUAGUCCUGGCCGUAAACGAUCUGUACUAGACGGUGGGAGGCUUGCCUUUCACGGUCGCAGCGAAAGCAUUAAGUACAGCGCCUGGGGAGUAUGGUCGCAAGGCUGAAACUCAAAGGAAUUGGCGGGGGCUCACACAAGCGGUGGAGCAUGUGGCUUAAUUCGAGGCAACGCGAAGAACCUUAUCCCAGACUUGACAU